GGGGCUGUUGCUCAGUGGUAGAGCACUUGCUUAGCACGCACAAGGCCCUGGGUUCCAUCCCAGCACCA
rnacentral:tRNA from 1 species